rnacentral:rRNA from 1 species
CAGCACCUCAAGUGGUCAGGAUGAUUAUUGGGCCUAAAGCAUCCGUAGCCGGCUCUGUUAGUUUUCGGUUAAAUCUGUACGCUCAACGUACAGGCUGCCGGGAAUACUGCAGAGCUAGGGAGUGGGAGAGGUAGACGGUACUCGGUAGGAAGGGGUAAAAUCCUUUGAUCUAUUGAUGACCACCUGUGGCGAAGGCGGUCUACCAGAACACGUCCGACGGUGAGGGAUGAAAGCUGGGGGAGCAAACCGGAUUAGAGACCCGAGUAGUCC